UACAGAGGGUGCGAGCGUUGUCCGGAAUCACUGGGCGUAAAGGGCGCGUAGGCGGCGCGGUAAGCGUGCGGUGAAAGCCCGGGGCUCAACCCCGGGUCGGCCGUGCGGACUGCCGGGCUGGAGCACUGUAGAGGCAGGUGGAAUUCCGGGUGUAGCGGUGGAAUGCGUAGAGAUCCGGAAGAACAUCGGUGGCGAAAGCGCUCUACUGGGCCAUAACUGACACUCAGGGACGAAAGCUAGGGGAGCGAAUGGG
rnacentral:rRNA from 1 species